GUAUUGUCAUUACAAUCUAGUUCUACGACAUGUAUAUAUGCGUGUAUGCGAUCGUAGACCGGGUUUCCCCGACCUACCAGAGAUGCACGGUGGGUGAAUGAGGUCAAUCCGACGCGUGCACAUGCCGUCGAGACGGCCAGCAUCAGCGUCGGAGGUGCUCGACAAUGAUCCUUCCGCAGGUUCACCUACGGAAA
rnacentral:misc_RNA from 1 species